UACGAAGGUGGCAAGCGUUGUUCGGAUUACUGGGCGUACAGGGAGCGUAGGCGGUUGGAUAAGCCCUCCGUGAAAUCUCCAGGCUUAACCUGGAAAGUGCAGAGGGGACUGUUCAGCUAGAGGAUGGGAGAGGAGCGCGGAAUUCCCGGUGUAGCGGUGAAAUGCGUAGAGAUCGGGAGGAAGGCCGGUGGCGAAGGCGGCGCUCUGGAACAUUCUGACGCUGAGGCUCGAAAGCGUGGGAGCAAACAGG
rnacentral:rRNA from 1 species